UACGGGGGGGGCAAGCGUUGUUCGGAAUUACUGGGCGUAAAGGGCUCGUAGGUGGCCAACUAAGUCAGACGUGAAAUCCCUCGGCUUAACCGGGGAACUGCGUCCGAUACUGGAUGGCUUGAAUCCGGGAGAGGGAUGCAGAAUUCCAGGUGUAGCGGUGAAAUGCGUAGAUAUCUGGAGGAAUACCGGUGGCGAAGGCGGCAUCCUGGACCGGCAUUGACGCUGAGGAGCGAAAGCCAGGGGAGCAAACGGG
rnacentral:rRNA from 1 species